rnacentral:rRNA from 1 species
AUACCCCGGUAGUCCUGGCCCUAAACGAUGUCAACUAGGUCGGAGUCACUCUGACGUGUUUCUGGCCGAAACAAAAGCGUUAAGUUGACCGCCUGGGGAGUACGGUCGCAAGGCUAAAACUCAAAGGAAUUGACGGGGGCUCACACAAGCGGUGGAGUAUGUUGCUCAAUUCGAUGCAACGCGAAGAACCUUAUCCUGGGCUUGACAUGCUUGGAUGCCUACCUGGAAACAGAAUAGGCUGCCCUUCGGGGUGAAACUUGCACAGGUGCUGCAUGGCUGUCGUCAGCUCGUGUCGUGAGAUGUCGGGUUAAGUCCCUUAACGAGCGAAACCCUUAUCGUUAAUUGCCAGCGGGUAAUGCCGGGAACUUUAACGAGACUGCCGGUGUCAAACCGGAGGAAGGUGGGGAUGACGUCAAGUCCUCAUGGCCUUUAUGCCCAGGGCUGCAAACGUACUACAAUGGCGGAUACAAACCGACGCAAAACCGCGAGGUCGAGCAAAUCGGAAAAAACCCGCCCCAGUUCGGAUUGGAGGCUGCAACCCGCCUCCAUGAAGUUGGAAUCGCUAGUAAUCGCGGAUCAGCUAUGCCGCGG